UCUCUGGUGGCUUAGAUGGUAAAGAAUCUGCCUUGCAAUGCAGGAGACCCAGGUUCAAUCCCUGGGUUGGGAA
rnacentral:tRNA from 1 species